UUCACCUUCCUGCUGAGCCAGCACCAGGAAGCGAGGGGGGGGGGGCUCUUGAUGAGGGGGCCAGGGUUACGCUGUCUGGACACUUCACACCUAGGUGGCCGCUUCCAACGAGUCUGGCCAGAGUCCGUCCUGCUGGGCACUUUCCAUCUCACCUCCCAGAAGAACUCACUGAGUUUGAUUUGGCAGGGAGCCUCUCACCAGGUAUUCAAUGAGCAGCUACUAUGUGCCAGAUCUUAUCCUAGGCACUGGGGAAGCGGCAACACAUGAAACAGAAGUUCACGUUCUAGUUGAGACACAGGCAAUAAACAAUCCAUCAGUAAAUGAUAUGGCAUGCUAGAAGGUGGUAGGGGCUACGGAGAAACACAGAACAGGGUGAUGAGGAUUCUUUAGACAGGGUGGCCAGGGAAGACCUCAUCAGAAGGUGACAUUUGGGCAGACACUCAAAGGAGAUGAGGGAGUGAGCCAAGCAGAUACCUGGGGUAUGAGUGCUGUCUAGUGGGUGUGAGGAAUAGCAGGCAGGCCAGGAAGCAGGGUUGGGGUGGACAAGGGCAGGCUGGGAAGAGGAGAGGUCAGAGGGGGGACAGGAGACCACAUGGAGUGGGGAAGGGAAGGGCCCCAUGAGUACCUUGGCUUUCACUAGAAGGAAAGAGGGCGCUCUGUGCCGGCGGGGCCUUGACCUGACUCAGGGAUUCACAGGGCCCCUCUGGCUACGAGUGGGGAGCAGAUUGCAGGGGGUGGGGAUGAGGGCAGAGAGCCCAGGGCAGAGGGGCUCCGGUGUCCAGGCAGGAGAGGACGGAGGCUGGGCCAGGGCAGGGCAGUGGCUGUCUCCAGCGAUGGCUGCCUAUCAGGGAGUGGGGGAGACCCUGUCCUCGGCCCUGUCCUCUCCCCCCUCACCCCUGAGAAGUAGAUUUGUUACAGGAUUUCGCUUUUAACCUCAAUACCGGGGUUCGUUGUCUCGAACCACUUCGAAGAAUGAGAAAAGGUGGACGUAGAAUAAAAUGAGCAGCAGGCAAAAGUUUAGUAGAGUGUAUGCAAGCUCUCUUCGCAGAGAGGAGACAUUCGAAAGUGAAAGCCC